rnacentral:rRNA from 1 species
UAAUACGGAGGAUCCGAGCGUUAUCCGGAUUUAUUGGGUUUAAAGGGAGCGUAGGCGGACGCUUAAGUCAGUUGUGAAAGUUUGCGGCUCAACCGUAAAAUUGCAGUUGAUACUGGGUGUCUUGAGUACAGUAGAGGCAGGCGGAAUUCGUGGUGUAGCGGUGAAAUGCUUAGAUAUCACGAAGAACUCCGAUUGCGAAGGCAGCCUGCUGGACUGUAACUGACGCUGAUGCUCGAAAGUGUGGGUAUCAAACAGGAUUAGAUACCCUGGUAGUCCACACAGUAAACGAUGAAUACUCGCUGUUUGCGAUAUACAGUAAGCGGCCAAGCGAAAGCGUUAAGUAUUCCACCUGGGGAGUACGCCGGCAACGGUGAAACUCAAAGGAAUUGACGGGGGCCCGCACAAGCGGAGGAACAUGUGGUUUAAUUCGAUGAUACGCGAGGAACCUUACCCGGGCUUGAAUUGCAACUGAAUGAUGUGGAGACAUGUCAGCCGCAAGGCAGUUGUGAAGGUGCUGCAUGGUUGUCGUCAGCUCGUGCCGUGAGGUGUCGGCUUAAGUGCCAUAACGAGCGCAACCCUUAUCGAUAGUUACCAUCAGGUUAUGCUGGGGACUCUGUCGAGACUGCCGUCGUAAGAUGUGAGGAAGGUGGGGAUGACGUCAAAUCAGCACGGCCCUUACGUCCGGGGCUACACACGUGUUACAAUGGGGGGUACAGAAGGCAGCUACACGGCGACGUGAUGCUAAUCCCUAAAGCCUCUCUCAGUUCGGAUUGGAGUCUGCAACCCGACUCCAUGAAGCUGGAUUCGCUAGUAAUCGCGCAUCAGCCACGGCGCGGUGAAUACGUUCCCGGGCCUUGUACACACCGCCCGUCAAGCCAUGAAAGCCGGGGG